rnacentral:sRNA from 1 species
CCCGGCGUUGAAACGCCGGGCUACUGUCAGAGGUCCCUUCGGGACC